AAUGAAUAUGCCAUGGAUUAUUACAGUUAUGUAUGAUUUACGUGUAUGGUUGAUCAUGUCUAGAAGGUUUUGAAUAUUGGGUGUCAAGAUGAGAGAGAAAGCACAGAUUCAUUGGGAUUGAGGGUGGUGACCUGGAUUAUGUCGUUCUAAUGAACCACCCUUCAAUACAUUGUCUCAUGGAUGCUGAGACUGUGGGGGCUUGCUAUGGUAAG
rnacentral:lncRNA from 1 species